CCAGCCAGAUGCUGUGAAGUCUCCAUAAAUCUGUCAGCCGUCCCAGUGCCGCGGGCAGUCACCUGCGGCGCCCCCUUCCCGGCGCUAGAGCGGCCCGCGGAGAGACGCGGAGAAGCAACGGGAAUCUAGCCCGGCAGACUGUACCCGAGGGCUGCCGAAGUCAGACCCAAGCACUACAGGUUGUGCGGAACGCGAGGACCCCUCCCUGUAUCCCCAACCUGGACCGACCCCCGGAAGCCUGCUCCUCCGGGUCUACAGGGAUGAAGGUCAGAGUGUCAAAUUGCAGAUUUUGGAUCCUCAAUAAUGGGCCGCUGUAUUUAACCUCUUCAACUUCUUUUCUCCACUUAUAAGAAGGAACAAAAUAAAAUGUUUUGUGGAAGUUUAUAUUGAAAUGAGGUCAGGUAAACUAAUGACUGCUUGGUAUUUUAUGACAAGUUUUAUAACCUUGGAGUUGCCAUAACUUUCAAACGAUCAUCAAUAAAGUUUUAUUGCAAAAGGGUCGCCAUGUGUCUGAAUGCUUUUGCACAUAGUAAAGCUAUGCUGCCCCAUUGUCGUAGCUCACCAGCCCCUUUUCACCCCAGCCAUAAAGUCCUCUUCUUUUUUAUUGGAGGUUGAAAAGUCCUCGGGUCUGCUCUCCUCCAUCAAGUUGGCAAUGUGGGAACAACACAGAAAUUAAACUACAUGAUUAAAUGAUCGUACACAACCAAAUCUUCAAGAAUAUGUAAUAAGACUGCUUUUUAAUAAUUAUAAAUUUGGAUUUUAAAUGGGUUCCAUUUAAUAAAAUAAAUGACAGUGGGCGGCGGGUGGGAAAGGAGGAAGUCAGAUGAGAGUUUCCUCCAGAAACUUGUGUUUGAAUGUUAGAUAAGACCUAUCAGUCUACCCGAUAUACCCAGAGGGCUGCCAUUAAAUAAUUAGGUGCUUAGGGACCGAUAAUGGUCUCAAGACAAAACAACGAAUUGCUAAAGACUCUUUGAGCUGACCCGAGGAUCUUAAAGAUUUAAGAGGCCUCGCAUUGCGUCCUAACUUGAAUUUUCCCACGGAGGGAAGGGUUGGGCUACAGCUCAUGCUUGCCCGAUUGCUGCCUAACACAUUCCCUAAACGCUCCCUAAAGCCAAACCAAGAACUUCAAGUGUCCACUUCACGGCAUCAGCUGUCAGGUUCAGGUUCGGGUCCGCCUACUCCUUGUCCACUGCCGAAUGCUAUGUGGAAAUGAAGCCGAGAAUAAUGUCCUGCGAUUUAGAUGAAGAGAACAGUAAGAAAGGUAGUAUGAAACGAAGCUUCUACUGACGCGCCCUUCAGACAGGUAUUCCGCAGGCGAGGGUUGUGACCCAGGGAGAGAGUGCGGGAGUGCUAGCAGAGCGGCGGGAGCGGAAGGAGAGGCUGGACGAAAGUUGGAAAAUCAUCCCAUCUCGGGACUUGAGUGCGAGAGCCCGCCCCGGAGUCGGCAAGUCUCCAGGGUUAGAAGGCCCUAGCUCCAAAGUUUUUUGUCCCGGCUCAGGCAGGUCCCCCACCUCUAACCUUCCCCGAUUUGCCUGGUUGCUCUCGGGGAAGGGACUGGUAAAUACCGCCCUCUCCCGGAUUUCCUGAAACUCUCACCAGCGCGCUGAACCCGCUCCUUCCCACGUUCGGCGCCCCGCACUCUGCGUCUGCGCCCACUGCGCGUCACCUUCCCUCCGGCCGAGACCACUAGAGCCCUAGAUCCGGGAUCUGCGGAGGGAACAGGACCUGAGCCCCUGCUGGACCCUGCAACUUGGCUGCGGAGAGCGCGCAGCCACAAGCGCCGUUCCUCACUUGAGGGCUUCGCGAGAGCUGGCUCAGCCCCGCGGGUCCCCGCCAGUCCUCGCCAGCCCUCGCCAGCCCCGGUCGGCCCCACGCUAAGUCCGCAGCAGGCGGGAAACCCCGCAGGCCUUCCCGGACUCACGAACUGCCUACUCCCACCCCUAAAGAGCUCAGACCUGAAGGUGCUCUUAUGGUGCGUGGCCGCAACCCCGGAGUGGAAUGGGUGGGGGGCCUCCAUGGCGAAGGAGACGCCGUGGGCGAAUCGGCUCCCAGCUCGCCCCUCAUGUCCUACAGGUCACUAGCCGAGUCCCUACCCCGGGCGCUCCCAUGAGGCACCAAGAGCAGCCACGGCCCAGGGAAGGGCCUGGGUCUUCACUGCUGGAGCGGGCCCCAGUCGAGGGCGCGCAGGUGUCGGGGUCCCCAGCAACCUCCGUAUGCGCGGAAAGCCGUAAACGGGGUUCUGAGGCCGGCGCCAGGCACAAGGAUCACCCCGCGCCACGGGCCACGGCUCAGAGCGCCCACGAAGCCCGGCUGCCAGGUCCAGGCCGCGGCCGGGCGGGACCCACUCGCUCCCCACGGUGCUGGCGCGGCGGGAGUCGGGCUGGUUAAGGCGGGAGGCCGGCACUGCCACGGGCUGUGGCGCCCCCUCCCGAAGACACCUCGCCGGAAGUGCGGCUCCCGCCUGGCAGGCGCUGAGACUCCUCGGCUGUAGCGCGAAGGCCCCGGUCCGCGCAACUUCCCAUAAUAACGCCGCGAAAUGCCUCCAGAAAUGCCUGUGUGGUAUGGUGUCUGAGCCAAUGGUCGGCAUUCGUCUUCCCCAAGUGCGGAAAAGAG
ensembl:lncRNA novel transcript, antisense to PAX9